AAAUAUACUCACAUGCUUGCACAUAAUGCUCUGAAAGAAGGAACGGACCACACACUUGAUUUAUCAGAGGAAGGAUGGAUAAAGAUAAGUACUAUGUUGUGCUCGUUGGAUGUCAUCCGGGAAUAUAUGUCACAUGGGACGAUGCUCGAGUAGAGGUGGAGGGCUUCAGUGGGGGCAGACAUCGAGCCUUUCGGAAUUGGAAGGAAGCUGUGGCUUACUGGAAAAAUUAUUUCGGUAAAGCAAGUCAACCGUCUAGACCUCUCACAGAUUCUCCAUAUGUUGAGGUUGCCGCUACAUCUGCGACGAUGGACAUCCAUGACGCUACGACCUCGUCUAUCCGGCAGGUGUCCCAGACCAACAAGGAAGUGGUGGAGAAGUCUACGUCAACUGACGAUCUUGCCCCAUCAAAUGGCGAGAGAGUCGUCGCCAUUUUGGUUGGCGUGUUGGUUAUUUUCUUUACCUUGCUUAUAAUUUUAAAAUUUUAAAUAGUAUUGGUGUUGUAACUUUGACGAUAUUUUUGUUGGAUAUUUGUGUUUUUUGUGGUCAUUGACCUUGGGUUCAA